rnacentral:miRNA from 1 species
GCAGACACAUUCCAGCCAAUCAGCAGCAGACCCUCCCUCCCAGACCCUCCCACCUCCUGGACAGCAUCCAUUGUGAAGCUGCAUUUUUAGUGAGCUGUCCAGGAGGUGGCAGGGUCUGGGAGGGAGGGUCUGCUGCUGAUUGGCUGGAAUGUGUCUG